CUGGUUUCGGAGAGCAGGACUGCGACGCUGGACGCGCGUGUUGGCAAGAGUCUCCGACAAGACAGAGAGACGCACAGCACUCAGCCAAUCCAGCGAAGCUGGGGCACAAACGGACUUGGCAAGGACUGAACGCGGCAAGGUGCACACCAGAGGCGCAUUUACAUCCAGCCCAGAAAAAAAACCAACAACCCAGAGCAGCGAAAGAGAUGCGAAGCGAAGAAAGCGCAAGGUAGGCAAGGCCUUGACACGAGAUCAGCCCGGCAAAGGUGGGAGACAGAUUGAGCUGCCUCGUUCCCAACAUGAUGUUCGUGGUUUUAUCAGUGGGAACAUGGAAUAUGGCGACAUGGAACUGUAAAUAAAGCUGUCAUGCCAAUGUCAGGGACGAUGCUUUGAAAGCGCCGUAGUGUCAGACCAACAUCUUAAAACCAUUAUAAAAUCCACAGCAGGUUGUUUCAAAUUGUAAAGACUUUCAAUAAUUUGAAAGAUUAUUCUAAACAGCAAGAGCAGAAAAGAUAGAUAAGUUACAUUUCUGGAUUUGAAGUCUGUUCAAAGAAACGCAAAAAAGGAAAAUAAACAAAACAAUGUUUGUUUCCUAAAAAUUGUUUCGUUUGUACGCGAUAAAUAAAAUCAACAACAGACCAAGGACAAAACAAAACAAAAAUGUUAUUCGCGCCAGACCUAUGAAAGUUUAGUUUAUUCCUUGCUGCUCCUUUGAGGAGCAUAGGGCCUCACAGCUAUGAAAAGCUGCAGAAAAAUAUUUAAAGAACAAACGAUUUGAUGAGAGCAGUACCCUCAAAUAGAAAGACCUUUGUUUAUCCGCAAUCGGUUGUUAGUGUAACGGUGUUUGCCAUAUGCAGGCACGGGACUUCAUGGUAUGCAUCGGUUUUCCUCCAGAAAGUUCUACACAUUACUAUGGCAAGCUAACCUAGGAAAGUCGGCAUAGCCUUGUAGUAGCUGUAAGUAAGCACGUAGCUUGCCAGGAAAAAAUACGCUCAGGUUAUUAUUGCCUGGUCACACUCCAGUAAAAACAUCCACAGCCUGACAUUCUUAAAUUACCUAUUACCUACAAGUUGUAGCUAACCGUCGCCUCCCCAAGCUCAGUAGCUGUUUCGAAAAAGCUGCGAACGAGGAAACCCGCAGUUGUCUGUCUUCGUUUCAAGUAUUUUUCGUGCAUUUUCGAAACAACGCACGUGCGUGACAUGACAGUGAAAUGUCAGAUCGCCUCUUGGUGGCAGAAACAGCGACCACCUCAACCCCCACCCCCUGCUCAGGCCACCAUAGAAAGAAGGCGAGUAAAGAGCCUUCAGUCGCAAAAUGCGCCGCAAAUUUCCUCAAAUUUCUGAGUGGAAAGGUGGAUGCUUGUGGAAAGACUUCAUUUGCGGCGAGGGACAAUAUAUAAACAAUGGAAGAACACUCAACAUAAACGACCAUUUUAACAAAAGUUCUAUGAAGACAUCGAGUGAAUACAUUACAGACAAGUGUUUUCAAAGAUCCUACCACACUUCAAGCCAAGACUACAGACAGCCAUUCGACUAUCUUGUGAUGACAGUUGCGGAACGAUGUCAUUAAAACGCCUUUGGAGCUCUGUCAAGCGUUUGGUACAGCACAACACAUUCCGACAUUUUGUUUCUCGUCUCCCGACUGUUAGGAGCGAAUCCCGUGCAGGAAGACAAGCUGUGGUGUUGCGGGGCUUUGCCUGUCAGACACGAGGCUGGACAGCUGCCUAAUGUGCUUACUUGCCCUUUCGCAUUAACCGCGCGAGCCAGGCCGGGGCAAGGUAUAGGUAAACUACAGCUGUCGAGGUAAGAAGUGAGCUUGCACCUCAAACAUCGGAGGUGACUGUAUGUCAAAACGCAGUAUAACCAGAGCCUGCAUGUGUUCGUGUUAAGAACAAGUGGAUUUACCGCACUGGCUUGCUAGUGCAUAUCCAUCCCUUCCUUCUAUUAGAAGUUCAAGCCUGCGCACGUGCACACCCACACACACACCUCUCUCUCUCUCUCACACACACACGAUCAGUAAACGCACUUGCAAAAGCUGCACAGUUUGUAGCAGUUACUGAAAUAUUAUCAGGAAUAUUUUAAUAUCGGAUGUUUAUACGUGGAUUUCUUACAUCCUGCAUGCAUCAGGGUCUUAAAAAAAGUAUCCGUUUAUCUUCUUAUUUACACUACCAUAUGUAAAGAAAGUUUCUUUCAUGCUGAAGCAAUAUGCUAUCACUGUACAGCUGACAUAUUAUCAUGCUACAGUUGACAUUCUGUCAGCAGUGCAGAUGGUGAAGCAGCUGGGCUUGUACAUCUUCUGCAGUGUUUAUGAUCCUGUUUGGCUCAUGAUCUAAAUACAGAAACUCCCUUCAUACCUGUACUCACGUUGUCAGGGAUUUAAAUACACAAGUUCCCUUUAUACCUUAAGCUUAUUUAAUUUGUCAAAGAUUUAAAUUCAGAAACUUCCUUUAUACGUUGAUAUUCUUCAAUUUGUCAGAGAUUUAAAUACAAAAACUAUCUUUAUAUCUUAAUCCUAUUUAUUUGUCAGUGGGGAGUAGUUCAAUCGCAUGCUCAGGGAGUAACAAGCCAAUAUGGACGAACGUUUGGCCAUGAGUCGCAAAAGUUUUGACAUAAAGGUGAUACACAAACUUUGCCAAAAUCGGUCAAUCGUCCGUUCACAUUUGUCCGAUUCAGAAGGACUUUAAGGACGUGGAAGCGAAACACGGUUUAAUGUCAUUUGACUAAUUUCAUGGUUUAACCUCAUUUCACGGUUGAAUAUCAUUUCUGCAUGAAACGUUAUCUGCGCGACCAAGUUUCAGAAGUCAACAUGUAAAGAAAGCUGCUAAAGAAUGUGAACAUGUGUAAAGACUAAUUUAUGGGAUAUAACGGUGUAUGUCCAAGGACAAACCCAGCAAUCCUCCAAUUACUUCAGGAAACUCCCAGAAUGUCCAGAAACGGUAAAGCGUCGCACGACUUUGGAUUUCCUGCCAAACGGAGAGGAGCUGUUUUGAAAAUCUUGAGACUGUACAGCACGAACACAACAGUCAACUUGAGUUAGACGGUUACUGUCUAGCUGGGGAACUGCGCCAUUAAUUCCAACGGCGUAAUUGUGGCUACUGGAACCUCGUUUGCGCUGCUGACUGUGGCCCUGCAGCUUCUCGGCAAGUGACAGGUCCACGUGAAGACGCGCGAUUGCAGCAACCAACGGCCACUGAGUACAUCGUUUCGUUUUUUCAAAAUUCUUAUUGUCUGUCUUGCUGAACUAUUAUCACACAGCGUCGAUUCCAACGCAAGCAGGUCUGUAGCGCAGCAACAAUAGCCAGGUCUCACACUGUAUGACAGCCAGUAUAUUAAUACAAAUAAAGUAAGCCACAGCAUAAUGUACGAAGUGCUCACACUGUAUGGCAGCAAGUCUAUUUUAUAAAAUAAGUAAGUGUAUAAACUCUUUAAAGAAAAGCACUUCUAAAGCUUAACUAAUGGAGAAUUAUGAAAUCACGUGUGCUUAUUUUUUUUUUAAUUGUUGAAACAGAUAUUUUGAAAACGAACUUUCAUGCUGGUUAGAGUUUGUGUAGUCUUUUUUUUUCUAUUUUGCUUGUUUCUCUGAAUGCUGGUUUUUCAUCUCUUCAGUUGACAUUACCACGCUUCUCUGCCAUGCACUCAGCGCCCCAUACCACCUGCCUCUGACCACGACAUACAACGAUGUGUAACGAUUACAUUGAUUAAAAACAAAUCUUUAUCAAGAUUCUCGAAAAUAAACCAGCAUGUUUUACACAAAAGAACGUACUGAAGGAAACAACAUGGGCGCAUACUGUGUGAUACGUUAGAAAGAAAGCUGUAUGUUUUUGGUUGGGAGAGGAGUGGUAGAGCCAAGGAAAAAAGCAGAGCACCAACCCCAAAGAUUGAAAAUGAAGACGGGAAUUUCAACAGCAAACACUGAAAGUUCUGUAGUGGUGUAUAAUCAAUGAGGCGUCUGAACAGCUGUCUACCAUGUUGACUUUACAUUUGAAAGGCACCAAAGUGAACCUGGCUUCUGGAGCCAAAAGUGCGAGCCUCUACAAGAAGCUACUGUUCCUUUUCCUUCUCAUAAAUCAAAGAGUAUGGUCAUCCCGCGGGUGGGCGACGUUUGAUAAUUAUGCCAAAGCUUUACCGUUUGUCGGAUACUCACCUAAUGUGGCAGGCAUACUUUUCUCAUUUAUCAAUCCGUCGCAGACUAUGGUUGGUGUAUGUUUAUUUUCUCUGUUAUAAGAUGUUACAUAACCAGCGGCUCCAAGGAAGGGAAAAAGAUUAUAAAGAGCCAACUACGAUAUACCUUUCCUGGACACAGUACAUUUCGACAACGGGAUUUCAGGGGAGGGGAGGGUCCUCAUGCAAGAUUGAAAGGUAAAGAGACAAGAAGGGGGCAGGUGAGCGAGGCAGUCGCAUGGGAGCAACUUUAUAUCUCCCCGUUUACUACGAUCAGCCACUGGUUUGCUGUUCUUCUCACCCCCUCAAAAAAAGCCGUUUGUUUCACAGGCAGGAGACGGAACGUCACCCAGCUCCACCACAAUCUUAUCUCUCCUUGACUCGUAACGUCAGGCCCUCUCCGCCCAUUUGGAAUCAGUUGCAGAUUGUCAUUACUUGCCAAAGAAAAAGAAGCAAGGUUUUUUUUGUUGUUGUUUGGCGGUGGUGGUGGUGGGGGGUGUGCCCUAGUGAACCACAAGACUUCGUGCUCUCCCUUGCAUACACGUCUAAGGCAGCGGAGGAUACAGACAAUUAAAAAAGAUCACUGCCAGGAAAUUCUAUUUUUAACAAGGGGUGACAUUUUUGGAUUUGUUGCAACAGAAGCAACAAUUACAACAGCAGUAGCGGCAACGGCACCGCCAUGCUUUUUCAGGGAUGCGCAGACUGUGACGUCACCAUUGAACAAAAAUAACUUGCCGUUAACUUCAAACGCCACCGAAUGGAUUUUAUAAAUACUGACAUCUAAAAAUACCAGCAGCACGCAUGCUUCUGAGGUAGCUCUCCACCUCACUAAAUAUCGAAAGUUUUUCAAGCUCGAAUAUUUGGGCUAUAAAAACUAAAUUUUGCUACAAUGAACAUAUUACACAAGAGCUCAGGAAGUUCAUUAAGUAUCCGGGGAAAGAACCUCAAAUAGCAAAGUUCCGGUUGAACGUUGUUUGCUGUUUGUGAAUAGAAACUCGCUUGAGUUCUGCUGAAGGCUGGACGUACAUCUGUUGGCAAUAAUUCACUGCCAACGUUGUACCGAAGCUAAACCAAGGUUAUUUGCAUGGGUCACAACAUAUCUUUUGUAGGGAAAAACCCGAGAGAUUGUGCGCACGCAUGUUGUGGUUUUCUGAUUCGGGGUUGCAUGAGCGAAAAGAAAAUUAUGAUAUAUUUUUUCUCGCUUUAUGACAUUUGCAGGCGUCCGUCUACGUCCUGCCCUCACUGAAUUACGCCCACGUAAGACAAGAAAUAGGGAAAAAAUCUUACUUGCUUCAAAGUUUCGCAAGUAAAUGUACAUAUCAGACAAGUCUUCGCUUGGAGCGCUGCUAAAUCUCGAGACACCUUUCAAGAAAGUUAUUUUCGGGCAUCGUAACACCCGCGCUGGGGCCAGGCCCCUGACAGUACAGCCUCGCUAUAGACGCACUCACAUUCCGCGAAGCAGUGAAUGACUCACCAGAAAGGCUCUCUAGCUUCCGGAGGGUACAAACAGUCCCGUCUUAUUUUUCUUGUACUUUCUUUACAUGUUUUCGCUGUUUCCUGCUUGUCCUUUUGCACCUUCAGAGAACUGUGGUGUUAGUAAAGGUAGUCGGCUCGUUGCCUGGCCUGACAGACUCCUGGCUUGCUGAACGCGCAGGUGAGAUGAGGUGUAAAAAGUGGUUUGCACGCCAGUCUUACCCCGUCUCUCUUAACUUUUUCUACAAGGGUCAUCGAAGGAUAAAAAGAUGAUGUUUGGAUAUGGUCUAUAUUAACUGCAGAUAUUGUGUUAUGUAAGUUGACAGUAAACACAGCAUCUGCACGUCACUCAAACUGACGGUCAACAAAAAGCAGUUGUUCGUCGUGUGACGAUAACGAUGGCGUGUCACACAUACUGCCACAUUUUCAUCAAAGACCAUACUUGUAGUCCACCUGGAUAUCGAGUCUCAGAUAUGCUAAAAAUAGCGAAAGCCCUUGAGCUCUAAGUCCUGGGUCCUAUAAAAUGUGAAUCAUCUAGCUCCAUUUUAAUCGUUACAUUUAUUACGAUAUCCUAGUUACGCCCCUUGACUUACUCUUUGGUGUGUGAGUCUGAGCUAUUCUAAGUAAACAUAACUGUCGUCUUGGAGUGUGUUAUUCUGUUCGUAGUAAGGCAGAACGCUAUGAAACAGAACAACAUUGAGCACAGUUAUAACAAAACGCGGCAUUUAGCCGCACAAAAUUAUGUUAGCUAUAUGCUCUAUGUGUGAGUGAGAGAGACAAAUGGUGAAUUAAAAAUAAAAAAGAAUUCUUACACUUAUUGACUGCUUCUUGUUCAGGCUAUUAUAUUUUGUAUUGAAUUGCUCUUUGCCAGUUUCCGUGAGAAAGUUUGGAUGCAGAGGAACUGAUUACGAACAUAUCAAAAGGAGAGUGCUAAACACAGCUGACAGGAGAGUCUGUUUUCGUAGAAACCGGACAAAGCCAUCACAGUCACUGUGCCGACAGCAGCAAACCUCUAUAUGAGCAAGCCUCAUGUACAGGCCAUAUAUAGGGCAGUGUAAAUGAAUGCAAAAAUUAUAAUAAAACACACAAACUAUAUCCUCGCAUGUGAUGACAUAGCGUUUUCUUUUUUAAAUAAAUACUAACUGAUGUGACAGUCCGAUAAAAGUCAGGACAGAACCUUAGAGAAAAAAGUAAUAUUCAAACUUGCAUGCACACACGUCUAACCUUCACACACUUUAUACAAGAGAUAAUACACAGGCAAGGACGAAAAAGCUGAGCUGCACAAGAACAGUUUUGAAGAUAAUAUUCGGAAAGUCUGCUGUUGAGGGCCCAACAAACAAAGCCAUUAUACUCUCUGGAUGUUAGGGGAAUGGAUCAACAGGUAUUAUGACUGCUGACGUGACAAAGAAAGCCUUUUUGCUAACGAUACUGUGCUCUUUAUUCUCCAGCAGUCUCAAAAGACACUUUGCCACCAGAGGAAUAAAAAAAAUUGUUGCAAUGAUGGUGUUGUUUGCUGCUAUAUUUUGAGUCGACAGUCUCACGCAGCCAGAGAGGUAUAGCGAGAGGGAGAAGAGCUGACGCAGAAAAAAAGAGUAUGGGAGAACAUCGAUAUAAAAACCCGUAAAAAUGAUGACCAAAAAAAAAAAAAAUUAUGCACGCGUGCACGCACACACGCACACCAUAUAAACAAUUGGAAAGUGUGAACAUAUUACAACAUAAACAAUUUACUGUGCGUGCACGGUAUCUCCAUUUACCUUCCUCACAGUGCAAACAGCUACUGCUGAUGCAAUCCUGCAGCUGUGCAUGAACAGGAAGACAGGAAGAUAUAUAACUCACACUCUUCACUCUUCUAUCAUCUCUAGACAGGUGUGGCGGUGGACUUCUGAAAAAGCUGCUCUGGGUGAUUUCUUCCUCGCCACACUGUGCUGAACAUUUUUCAUAUAUCAUCCCCGUGAAGCCAGUAAACAUGCUAGUACAUACAGAAAUCUUAAACGUAAACCAUUUAGACUGUAAGACAGUGGAACAGCAACCUAUGUGUUAGUCACGUGUCACGAGCAGAGCUUACCACAACCUGACAACCGGAUGCAGCUGUAGUACUGAUCAUUGCAUUUUUGACCAGAUCUUCAUCGGUCACACGAAGUCAAAUAAAAAUAAAAAGACAGAAAACCCGGGUAAAAACGCGGUGUCUAUUGUUGCAAACAUGUGUAGCAGGAACAGUUCACUAUUUCCAGCAGUGUGGAUACGUCCGAAAGACUAUCAUUAAAGACUCAAACAUGCCAUGCUGAUUGCUUGUUUUUAACUGAGUGCACAGUAUAUCUUACCUGUCCCUCUCUCCUUCCCCCAACCCUCUAUGGAGUCAGGUACACAUUCCCAACAGCCAGAUAGACUGGGGGAAGUUCAC
rnacentral:lncRNA from 1 species